AGAGUUUGAUCAUGGCUCAGGACGAACGCUGGCGGCGUGCCUAAUACAUGCAAGUAGAACGCUGAAGACUGGUGCUUGCACUAGUCAGAUGAGUUGCGAACGGGUGAGUAACGCGUAGGUAACCUACCUCAUAGCGGGGGAUAACUAUUGGAAACGAUAGCUAAUACCGCAUGACAAUUAAGUACUCAUGUACUAAAUUUAAAAGGAGCAAUUGCUUCACUAUGAGAUGGACCUGCGUUUGUAUUAGCUAGUUGGUGAGGUAACGGCUCACCAAGGCCACGAUACAUAGCCGACCUGAGAGGGUGAUCGGCCACACUGGGACUGAGACACGGCCCAGACUCCUACGGGAGGCAGCAGUAGGGAAUCUUCGGCAAUGGGGGCAACCCUGACCGAGCAACGCCGCGUGAGUGAAGAAGGUUUUCGGAUCGUAAAGCUCUGUUGUUAGAGAAGAACGGUAAUGGGAGUGGAAAAUCCAUUACGUGACGGUAACUAACCAGAAAGGGACGGCUAACUACGUGCCAGCAGCCGCGGUAAUACGUAGGUCUCGAGCGUUGUCCGGAUUUAUUGGGCGUAAAGCGAGCGCAGGCGGUUAUUUAAGUCUGAAGUUAAAGGCCGUGGCUCAACCAUGGUUCGCUUUGGAAACUGGAUAACUUGAGUGCAGAAGGGGAGAGUGGAAUUCCAUGUGUAGCGGUGAAAUGCGUAGAUAUAUGGAGGAACACCGGUGGCGAAAGCGGCUCUCUGGUCUGUAACUGACGCUGAGGCUCGAAAGCGUGGGGAGCAAACAGGAUUAGAUACCCUGGUAGUCCACGCCGUAAACGAUGAGUGCUAGGUGUUAGGCCCUUUCCGGGGCUUAGUGCCGCAGCU
rnacentral:rRNA from 1 species